rnacentral:rRNA from 1 species
AGUGAACGCUGGCGGUAGGCCUAACACAUGCAAGUCGAACGGCAGCACAGUAAGAGCUUGCUCUUACGGGUGGCGAGUGGCGGACGGGUGAGGAAUACAUCGGAAUCUACUUUUUCGUGGGGGAUAACGUAGGGAAACUUACGCUAAUACCGCAUACGACCUACGGGUGAAAGCAGGGGAUCUUCGGACCUUGCGCGAUUGAAUGAGCCGAUGUCGGAUUAGCUAGUUGGCGGGGUAAAGGCCCACCAAGGCGACGAUCCGUAGCUGGUCUGAGAGGAUGAUCAGCCACACUGGAACUGAGACACGGUCCAGACUCCUAGGGGAGGCAGCAGUGGGGAAUAUUGGAAAAUGGGCGCAAGCCUGAUCCAGCCAUACCGCGUGGGUGAAGAAGGCCUUCGGGUUGUAAAGCCCUUUUGUUGGGAAAGAAAAGCAGCAGGUUAAUACCCCGCUGUUCUGACGGUACCCAAAGAAUAAGCACCGGCUAACUUCGU